UACGAAGGGGGCUAGCGUUGUUCGGAGUUACUGGGCGUAAAGCGUGCGUAGGCGGUGUCUUAAGUUUGUUGUGAAAUCUCCCGGCUUAACCGGGAGGGUGCGGCGAAUACUGAGAUGCUGGAGUGCGGGAGAGGUAAGCGGAAUUCCUGGUGUAGCGGUGAAAUGCGUAGAUAUCGGAAGGAACAUCAGUGGCGAAGGCGACUUCCUGGACCAAUACUGACGCUCAGGUGCGAAAGCGUGGGGAGCAAACAGG
rnacentral:rRNA from 1 species